AUUGAACGCUGGCGGCAUGCCUUACACAUGCAAGUCGAACGGUAACAGGUCUUCGGAUGCUGACGAGUGGCGAACGAGUGAGUAAUACAUCGGAACGUGCCUAGUAGUGGGGGAUAACUACUCGAAAGAGUGGCUAAUACCGCAUGAGAUCUACGGAUGAAAGCAGGGGAUCGCAAGACCUUGUGCUACUAGAGCGGCCGAUGGCAGAUUAGGGAGUUGGUGGGAUAAAAGCUUACCAAGCCGACGAUCUGUAGCUGGUCUGAGAGGACGAUCAGCCACACUGGGACUGAGACACGGGCCAGACUCCUACGGGAGGCAGCAGUGGGGAAUUUUGGACAAUGGGCGCAAGCCUGAUCCAGCAAUGCCGCGUGCAGGAUGAAGGCCUUCGGGUUGUAAACUGCUUUUGUACGGAACGAAAAGCCCUGGGUUAAUACCCUGGGGUCAUGACGGUACCGUAAGAAUAAGCACCGGCUAACUACGUGCCAGCAGCCGCCGUAAUAC
rnacentral:rRNA from 1 species